CUCUCAGGUAGAGACAAUGUUUCUCAACUUCCCUUCUAAAGCUUGUACAUUUCUAAAUUACUAAAUGUUUUAAACAGAUUUCACUGUCCACGUUUCACAGAAUGGAGAGUGUGUGAACACAGAACAGCGGGAAUGUGACCUAGCCUUUUAAAAGAAUGCGUCAUUUACUAUGGACAUGGGCAGGAAUAAGGAGAGUGAGACAAGUAACAGAGAAAGAGGAUGGGACACUACACUGAAAGACCGCAAGACUAGCUGCUCCCCAGUGAGGAAUCCUCAUUGAAAAGGGACCAAACCGACAGGAGAGAAGAGAGUAGGAUCCAGCAAAUGCAUCAUUAUAAAACUUCAGAACAGGCCAGGCAUGGUGGCUCAUUCCUGUAAUCCCAGCACUUUGAGAGACCAAGGCGGGCGGAUCAUGAGGUGAAAAGAUGAAGACCAUCCUGGCCAACAUGGUGAAACUCCAUCUCUACUAAAAACUACAAAAAUUAGCCAGGUGCGGUGGCGUGAGCCUGUAAUCCCAGCUACUCGGGAGGCUGAGGCAGGAGAAUCGCUUGAAACUGGGAGGCAGAGGUUGCAGUGAGCCGAGAUCGCGCCACUGCACUCCACCCUGGCGACAGAGCGAAACUCCAUCUCAAAAAACAAACAAACAAACAAACAAAAAAACACUUCAGAACAAUAGAACUCUAAAAUUUUUCCCCGCAUUUUAAAGCAAAGCUGAGUUUGCUCUGGUUGUUCAAAAGGACUAAAAACAUGUAAAAUAUUUGUAAUUUGUCUCAUAUUUACUGGCAUUUCUUAAUAGAACAACUAAUCAAGUGCACCUCUUUUUUCAUUUAUACCAAUACCAGUUUAAAACAAUGUCCACCCCACGAACGUAAGAAUUAGAAUGAUGUGUGUGUGUUUGUGUGUGUGUGUGUGUGUGUGUGUGUGUGUGUGUGUCUUGAGAUAGAGUUGUAGAAUAUCCAACAUUAGCCAUUGGAUAGUAUCAAUUAUUUUACAUAUUUGUCAUAUCAGUGACAAGUCUGAAGUAAAGAAUUGCCUAAAAUCACCAAAGACUGGAUAAAUAUGUAAUAAUUGAAUCAACUGUUUUUCAGUAAAUCUGGCCAUCUUAACAACCAGUUUCAAUCUGAUUUGAAUUGUUCAAUGAUCAAUAACAAAAGCCAGAAAGCCCUAAUCUUUUCCAUUUAUUCUACAUUAUGUUAAAGCACUUAAAAUACUUAAAAUUUAAUAAGUGAACUCAUACUACUGUGAUAAAAUUAUUUUACUGUAAUAAUUUCCUGCAGUUAGAUUUAUUGUUCUGGUGGGAAACGCAUAUUAAUCUUUAGAAUAUUGUUGACAAACAAGCAUCAAAUAAAACAUGUUGAUUAAAUAAAACAAUGUCCUAGGUGUUGCAGGGUGCAGAAUGACUAUAACAAGCCAAGCUUCAUAAGCAGCUUUGGACCGGUUGCCCACUGUAUAGGUGGCCUUCAGAAACAGAAUUGCAUACAAGCAACCAGUCUCUAAAAUCACAAAUAAUCUAUACUCCUAAAUACACGAAAUACCAUUUGUAAAUUGCCUUCCUCCAUGUAACAAAGACCCAAGUUAUACAGACAGUCUGCUGAAAUUGCUGUGGCAUCUGGUCCUUUAUCAGAAUGAGAAAUGGCAUCCAAAGCCUUCUUAAGCACUUCCACAGCUUCCUAUAAUGAUAAAAAAGCAGGGAGGGGGCAAGAAAUGUUUCUUUCCACUAUUGAUUUAACGUUACAGCCUUAUAUGUUAAAAGGAGCACAGAGCACACACCUCUACUCUUACUUUAUCUGGGGACAAACAGACCUGGUGAAGUUACAGGUCUUGUCAGUACACUACAAGAAGAGAACCCAGUUCAGAAGUCUUACCCUCAUGAGUCCCACCCAGGUGCCUAUCCUACAAGCCAGUACUUAAGCAGGCUUAUGGACAUGGAUUUUUGGAACUAAAAUUUCUGAAUUCUAAAGGCUAUAUACACAAGCUUAAGUCAGGCUUAAAUUUAUGAACAAGUUUAUUGACAAUUUCCUAAUAAUUUCUCUGAAUGGAAUACUGGGAAGCUACUAGGUAGUAAAAGAUCUCCACUGAUAAUAUCUGACAUAAUUUUAAUCCAUUUUUUAUUGUGUCCUGCUGUCCUCCUAAUAGGGUUUUAUUGGCACCAAAAAAAUAAACUACCUCCAAAACUCAACCAUUUAUUUAUUCAAAAGAGUCAAAAGUCUCAUUAAUGAAAAUGUUCAAACUCUCAUUAAUGAAAAAGUUCAAAAUAGUCAAAAGUUUCAUGAAUGAAAAAGUCUCAUUAAAUGAAAAAGUCAAAUGUCUCAUUAAUGAAAAAGAUAGAAAUGCCAUUUAAUACUUAACUACCCACUGUAUAUCUGUAUAUAGAAAGACAAAUACUUGUUACUGGUUAUACCAUCUUCUUAAUUGUCUUAAAUUGCUAAAGAAAAAAUGAAGUUUCACUUGGAUAUGCUAAGUGUUCUAUUGAGCAUUAGCUGUAUAUGUUUGCAAGCCACCCAACAUCCCUCCUUCUGUCCUCACUCUCAGCACAUGACCUUGCCUAGAAAAAGUGGAUUACUGUCUCAAUUUCCCCCCUUUCUACUUUUCGAUGAAUCUAUAUCUUCAUUCACUUUCACCUUUUUCUCUCCUGUCUUUGAAUUGCUUUCUUUCUCAUUCCUUGCAGAGCUAACUCCUCAAAAGCUGUCCUUGACCCCAUCUUCUCCUGCCUCACCUGAGCAGCCUGUUACUUCCUUCCUCCUUUGGAUUUCUGCCCCUUUACUGACUCCUUGAGCCCAUUAAAACUUGUCUACUCAAGCCUUCCAACCCAUUUAAAUUAAAAUGAACAUGUCUUCACUUCCUCCUGCUUCCUCCAUCUCUCUCUCUUUCACUACUCCACGGUGUCAUCUGAGGGACAUCUGCAGGGGCUUACAGAUAAGUCAUCUUUAUAGUCUGCAGAAAGUACUGUGGCUGCUGUGUGGAUAAAAGCUUGGAAGAGUACAACAAUGCAGCUAUAUAAUUCAAAAAAAUUUUUUUAACUAUAUGCUCCAAACCAGGAUAAUAACCACAGAAAUAAAGAAAGUGGAUUUGAGAAGUAUCUAGAAAGCAGAACCAAGAAAACAUCACUAUUGAUUGGGUGGAAGAGGGUAGCUGAUGGUGACAUCAGGUAUCCAGCUAGAGUCACAGAGGACAGGCUGGGAGGAGGAGAUUAAAGCAAAUAUAAAAAAGCAGUCCUCAAAUAAUACAGAGACCAAAAUCUCCAAAUGUGAAGAAAAAAGUAGACAUGAUCCAUACUGAGUAAUGAUCACAGAAUCUGCAAUAAGAAAGUCAAUGAAGGCUGGGCACAGUGGCUUACACCUGUAAUUCCAGCACUUUGGGAGGCAGAAGCAAGUGGAUCACCUAAGGUCAGGAGUUCAAGACCAGCCUGGCCAACAUGGUGAAACCCCAUCUCUACUAAAAACACAAAAAUUAGCUGGGCAUAGUGGUAUGUGCCUAUAAUCCCAGCUAGUCAGGAGGCUGAGGCAGGAGAAUUGCUUGAACCCAGGAGGCAGAGGUUGCAGUGAGCUGAGAUUGCGCCACUGCACUCCAGCUGGGUGACUGAGCAAGACUCCAUCUCAAAAAAAAAAAAAAGAGAAAAAAGAAAGUCAAUGAAGCUAGCAAGAGUGCUUGAUUCCAAACCAGAGGUGCAUUCGUUUUUCUAUCGCUACAGGUCAAAUUACCACACAUUUAGCAAAUGAUAGUAACAUGCAUUUAUCAUCUCACACUUUCCACAGGUCCGGAGAUUGGGCAUGGCUUAACUGGGCCCUCUGCUCCGGGUCCUACAAAGCUGCUAUCAAUGUGUCGGUUGAGCUACAUUCUCCUCUGGAAACUUGGCUGGGAGAAUUAGCUUCCAAGCUCAUUCAUGUUGUCAGCAGCCUUCAUUUCCUUGAGACUCCAGGACUGACAGCCCCAGUUUCAUUUUUUUUUUAUUUUAUUUUAAGUACCAGGGUACAUAUGCAGGAUAUACAGGUUUGUUACAAAGGUAAACACGUGCCAUGGUGGUUUGCUG
rnacentral:lncRNA from 1 species